rnacentral:ncRNA from 2 species
CCGGUCAUUCACGCCAGGGGUGUCGGGGGCCAAGCCAACCCGACAUGAAAAGGGAACCGGGGACAUACCAUAAGGUAUCAGCCCGGACUGUGCCCGCAACUGUGAGGGGGAAUACCCCGAGUCAGGAUACCUGCCCCUGUGCCUCUUUUAUU